GGGUGAUUAGCUCAGUAGGUUAGAGCAUCUGCCUUACAAGCAGGGGGUCGGGAGUUCGAGUCUCUCAUCGCCCACCA
rnacentral:tRNA from 1 species